rnacentral:rRNA from 1 species
CCUACGCGGUGCAGCAGUGGGGGAUAUUGGACAAUGGGGGACACCCUGAUCCAGCGAUGCCGCGUGCGGGAAGAAGGUUUUCGGAGUGUAAACCUCUGUUGAGGGGGACGAUAAUGACGGUAACCCUUUAGGAAGCCACGGCUAACUACGUGCCAGCAGCCGCGGUAAUACGUAGGUAGCGAGCGUUGUCCGGAAUUACUGGGGGUAAAGGGAGUGUAGGGGGGAAAGCAAGUCAGACGUGCAAACUAUGGGCUUAACCCAUAGCCUGCUUUUGAAACUGUUUUUCUUGAGUGAAGUAGAGGUACGCGGAAUUCCUAGUGUAGCGGUGAAAUGCGUAGAUAUUAGGAGGAACACCAGUGGCGAAGGCGGCUUGCUGGGCUUUUACUGACGCUGAGGCUCGAAAGCGUGGGGAGCAAACAGGAUUAGAUACCCUUGUAGUC